ACACGACUACAUUAGAUACCCCGGUAGUCCUAGCCGUAAACGAUACUCGCUAGGUGUCGGCCACGGUGCGACCGUUGUCGGUGCCGUAGGGAAGCCGUGAAGCGAGCCACCUGGGAAGUACGGCCGCAAGGCUGAAACUUAAGGAAUUGGCGGGGGAGCACAACAACGGGUGGAGCUUGCGGUUUAAUUGGAUUCAACGCCGGAAAUCUUACCGGGACCGACAGCAACAUGAAGGCCAAGCUGAAGACUUUGCCGGAUUAGCUG
rnacentral:rRNA from 1 species